GACGAACGCUGGCGGCGUGCCUAACACAUGCAAGUCGAGCGAAGGGAGUACUACGGUACGAACUUAGCGGCGGACGGGUGAGUAACGCGUGGACAAUCCACCCUGUAGACUGGGAUAACACCUCGAAAGGGGAGCUAAUACCGGAUAAUGUCGAGAAGCGGCAACGAGCGGCGAAGCAAGGAGAGAAUCCGCUAUAGGAGGAGUCCGCGGCCCAUUAGCUAGUUGGUGAGGGUAACGGCAUACCAAGGCGACGAUGGGUAGCCGGACUGAGAGGGUGAACGGCCACACUGGAACUGAGACACUGUCCAGACUCCGACGGGAGGCAGCAGUGGGGAAUAUUGUGCAAUGGGGGAAACCCUGACACAGCAACGCCGAGUGAGCGAAGAAGGCCUUCGGGUUGUAAAGCUCAAUAGUAUGGGAAGAUAAUGACGGUACCAUACGAAAGCCCCGGCUAACUACGUGCCAGCCGCCGCCGUAAGAC
rnacentral:rRNA from 1 species